rnacentral:piRNA from 1 species
UAACUUAUGUUUCAUCGUUUU